rnacentral:rRNA from 1 species
CAGUAGCCAGCGGUAAUACGGAGGGGGCUAGCGUUGUUCGGAAUUACUGGGCGUAAAGCGCACGUAGGCGGCUCGGUAAGUUAGAGGUGAAAGCCCGGAGCUCAACUCCGGAAUUGCCUUUAAGACUGCCGAGCUAGUAGGUGAGAGAGGUAAGUGGAAUUCCGAGUGUAGAGGUGAAAUUCGUAGAUAUUCGGAAGAACACCAGUGGCGAAGGCGGCUUACUGGCUCAUUCUAGACGCUGAGGUGCGAAAGCGUGGGGAGCAAACAGGAUUAGAUACCCCAGUAGUCCCUGUCUCUUAUA